rnacentral:lncRNA from 10 species
CAUCCAUUCACCAUUUACUAUACUUAUUCUGGAAAAACUUUCUGAGCUGGGCCAUCUGGGGACGUUAUGUGGAAGUUGGCAGAUGCUCUGACCUCCAGGAGCUCGGGGAACACAAUGGGAGCCAGGACAAGCAAAAAGAGGAAUUUAAUGGCUCGUGUACCUGGGAUAUCUAGGGCUGGGCUGGCCUCAGGUGUGGCAGUCCCUGCUACUCAGAUUAUGGCAACCAGCCUUUUUCAGUGUGUCUCAGGGCUCCUCUUUGUGAGCCAGUUUUAUUCUUUCCUGCUGUGUAGCGUUUCCUCCAUGCUGUAGGAGAAGAACAUGAAUUUCACAACCAUAAACUUACUUCAUACCAUCUGAGCAAGCGGAGAGGAAAGACAAGGCUCCUUUUUC